UAGCAGAGGUCUCAAGCGUUUGGUUCGGAUUCAUUGGGCGUAAAGGGUGCGUAGGCGGCGCGGUAAGUCGGGUGUGAAAUCUCCGGGGCUUAACUCCGAAACUGCAUUCGAUACUGCCGUGCUUGAGGACUGGAGAGGAGACUGGAAAUUUACGGUGUAGAGGUGAAAUUCGUAGAUAUUGGGAAGAACACCAGUGGCGAAGGCGGCUAACUGGUCCAGCACUGA
rnacentral:rRNA from 1 species